rnacentral:rRNA from 1 species
UAUCCUACGGGACGCAGCAGUGGGGGAUAUUGGACAAUGGGGGGAACCCUGAUCCAGCGACGCCGCGUGAGUGAAGAAGUAUUUCGGUAUGUAAAGCUCUGUCAGCAGGGAAGAAAGAAAUGACGGUACCUGACUAAGAAGCCCCGGCUAACUACGUGCCAGCAGCCGCGGUAAUACGUAGGGGGCAAGCGUUAUCCGAAUUUACUGGGUGUAAAGGGUGCGUAGGUGGCAGGGCAAGUCAGAUGUGAAAGCCCGGGGCCCAACCUCGGUACUGCAUUGGGAACUGCCCCGCUCGAGUGCCGGAG